rnacentral:rRNA from 1 species
UAAGUAGUUGGCAAGCGUUGUCCGGAAUUAUUGGGCGUAAAGCGCGCGCAGGCGGUUAUGUAAGUCUGAUGUUAAAGCCCGGGGCUCAACCUCGGUUCGCAUUGGAAACUGUGUAACUUGAGUGCAGAAGAGGAAAGUGGUAUUCCACGUGUAGCGGUGAAAUGCGUAGAUAUGUGGAGGAACACCAGUGGCGAAGGCGACUUUCUGGUCUGUAAAUGACGCUGAGGCGCGAAAGCGUGGGGAGCAAACAGG